rnacentral:lncRNA from 1 species
CAGGCGCCGGGAGCUCACUGGGAGUUCCAGGAACCAAAUGGUGAUAAACUAGGAAUGGAGAGAGGGCUUGCUGCUGUCUGAGAGCUCAGGUACAGGUCAUGGAAGAUGGAUGAGAGGACAUUCGCCUGGGGCUUUUGAGGAAUUCUUUGAUUCCCUGCCAUCCUUGAGUUGGGUGAGGACAGAGGUGGCUUCUUGCAUCCUUCUUCCAAGGCCAGGUGAGGAGCUGGACUCUGAUCACAUGAGGUCUUUUAUUUGGGGCGGCUCUGCUCUACUCCCCUCUGCCUUGGCAGCUGGCUGAACAGACACAGUGACAGCCACUCAUUCAAUGCAUUGUUUAUUGAGUACUAACUAGCUUUGGGCCCAGGCUCUGGGUUAGCAGCAUGCGUGAAACAA